rnacentral:rRNA from 1 species
UACGUAGGGUGCGAGCGUUGUCCGGAAUUAUUGGGCGUAAAGGGCGCGUAGGCGGCCUUGCGUGUCUUUCGUGAAAUCCCUCGGCUUAACUGAGGACGUGCGGAAGAAACUGCAGGGCUUGAGUCCGGGAGAGGGGGGUGGAAUUCCCAGUGUAGCGGUGAAAUGCGUAGAUAUUGGGAGGAACACCGGUGGCGAAGGCGGCCCCCUGGACCGGUACUGACGCUGAGGCGCGAAAGCGUGGGGAGCAAACGGG